GACGAACGCUGGCGGCGUGCUUAACACAUGCAAGUCGAACGGAAAGGCCCCUUUGGGGGUACUCGAGUGGCGCACGGGUGAGUAACACGUGAGUAACCUGCCCUUGACUUCGGGAUAACUUCAGGAAACUGGGGCUAAUACCGGAUAGGAAUCCUUGCUGCAUGGUGGGGGUUGGAAAGCUUCGGCGGUUUUGGAUGGACUCGCGGCUUAUCAGCUUGUUGGUGGGGUAGUGGCUUACCAAGGCUUUGACGGGUAGCCGGCCUGAGAGGGCGACCGGCCACAUUGGGACUGAGAUACGGCCCAGACUCCUACGGGAGGCAGCAGUGGGGAAUAUUGCACAAUAGGCGGAAGCCUGAUGCAGCAACGCCGCGUGCGGGAUGACGGCCUUCGGGUUGUAAACCGCGUUCAGCAGGGGCGAAGCUUGUGGUGACGGUACCUGCAGAAGAAGCACCGGCUAACUACGUG
rnacentral:rRNA from 1 species